CAACCCAGAUAUACAACACUGGUCAAAUUUCUUUCUGCAACGGGUUAUGGAUGAUUUGGGCUCAAUUUCUCUACCCUAACCCUAGUCAUCAAGUCAUAGGAGGAGAACACACGAAGAAAUUGAUUCAAAACUCUGAAUGAUGUCUCAAUCGCUUUUGAAAUCGUUCCUCAUCAAAUUCAGGAGAAGUAGCGGUGCCACCGUUGAUGUUCUCUCCUAUGCUUCUUCGAAAUGUUAUGAUUUUGGUAUUCAUUCACGAAGCUCUCUUGUUUAUCCAAGAAGGAACCAUGGCGUAGGCAGUUCCCAAAGAAUCAAGGUGGGUUUUUCCGACAAUCCCCCCUUGUUGUACAACAACUACACUACUAUCAGUGCUACUACUAGUGGUGGUGGUGGUGGUUGUGCUUGUGAUGGUCGAGAAUUGCUGGCUAUGACGGACCAACAGCUGAUGACCCAAUGUGAUAUGGAUACUUUCAAGUCGUCUGGUCCCGGCGGUCAGCAUCGCAAUAAGCGUGAAUCGGCUGUCCGUAUCAAGCACCUCCCUACUGGCAUUGUUGCUCAGGCUGCAGAGGAUAGAUCACAGCAUAAGAAUCGUGCAGCAGCACUAGCUCGCCUACGCAAUCUAUUUGCUCUUAAAGUCAGGAAUACAGUAGAUUUGGAUGCAUAUUCACCUCCUCAAGAGCUCCUUCAAAUUCUUCCUGCGAAGUCAACCAUCAGAGGAUCAUCGUGUGGUCCGCAGAUUGGGCCAAAUAAUCCAAAAUUUGCUUUGGGAAUGCAAGCUUUGCUAGAUCUAAUUUUUGCAGUUGAGGGUUCUGUUUCUGAUGCAGCAAGGAAUUUGGGGUACGUGAUACUAAGUUCUGAAUCCUAUUUUGAGCACAGGGGCUCUGUCUCGUUUGAUACUUUCAGAUGAUUCGCUCAGAAUGGCAGUCAAUGAGCUCAGGACAUCUAAGGGCAUGAAGCCUCUGAAAUAGAAAACCUAUCGGAUGGCAGUUUUGUGUCAGAGGAUGGAUACAUGAUUACCUUCUGUUGUUACGAAGACAAGGAAUGCUAAUAGGCCUCAGUGGAUUACAUUCAAACUGGAUCACGAUUAUCCUAAACCGAUGAUGUGUUAAAAAAAAAAAAAACCCUCGAUGCAAUCUAAUUACUCUGACAGAUCAUGCUUAUUACCAUCCAAAUUCAAUUGUUUUAGUUGUUUGGUAUGGGUUUACAUAAUCCAAUUCAAUCUGACCACAGGGAAACAAAAACAUGAGAGAGCUUAAAUGUUUGCAUUGUAUGUAUGUAUAUGUAAAGGAUACACCAUUGCACAUCGCAUUAGAGGUGUACUAGUGAUAUUAAGUUACUUUCAGUCAGAUUGAAUAUCAUACCUAAUCUGUAAUGGAUUUGGUUUGUUUGUUAGUAUUUUCAUUUUUUUUGUACUAUUUUGUUUCUGGAAAUGCAUUUUUCCA